GGCCGGUACAAAACGUCGCAAUCCCGCAAGGGGGAGCUAAUCGCUAAAACCGGUCUCAGUUCGGAUUGAAGUCUGCAACUCGACUUCAUGAAGUUGGAGUCGCUAGUAAUCGCAAAUCAGCAUGUUGCGGUGAAUACGUUCCCGGGUCUUGUACACACCGCCCGUCACAUCACGAAAGUAGGUUGUACUAGAAGUAGGAGGGCUAACUCGCAAGAGGGGCAUCUUACACGGUAUGAUUUAUGAUUGGGGUGAAGUCGUAACAAGGUAACC
rnacentral:rRNA from 1 species